AUUUCUGGUUUCAGCUUUUCAAUAUAUUUCCCUCCUGAGAUUAACUAACCAUGUAACUGAAAUGAUAAGUUUUAGGUUACUUACUGGAAUCUUUCUCUUUUCCUUUACAGGAUCUAUCUCACCUGACUGUCGAUUGCCUGGAGUUUUAUAUCAAGGAACGAAAAAUGUAACAGAAACUGGUAGAGCAUGUCAAAGAUGGGAUGUCCAGACCCCACACGAACACGGCUAUGAUGUAUUUAGCCUUUCAAAAGAGAACUACUGUCGGAACUUCGAUAGAGAGGAGCCGUGGUGCUUUACCAAUGACACGGAUGUCCGCUGGGAACUCUGUGGCGUGGAAGUGUGUGUAACUCCGUGUCUUAACCAGUCUUUCUAUACAAAAGAAAUAAAGAGCCAGUGUGUUUCUGAUAUUCCAAGUGAUAGUGAAUAUUGUAGCAAUAUAUUAAACCUGGUCUCAUGUUUAAAGAAGAAUAUUGAAAAUUCCACUGGUUCUAAUUGUUCCCUGAUUACAUGGCGAUCAAUUGCUCUGCAAAUAAAGGACACUUAAGAAGAUUUAAUAGAGAAGUCCAUCUCUCAAUUUAAGUUAAAAAACUUUACUAUUUUUUUCUGAAAGCAAUUUAGAAGGAAUUGUCAUUUCUGAAAGACAACUAAAACAGUAGUUAAUAUCGAAGAGAAGAUAAAAGAGAAAUCAAUGUCAAUAUAAGUGAAAUUCAAAUCUCUUGUCAUUUUUUUCCUUAAAGUUUUUCAAAGAUGAUCUCUAAAUUGAAAAAAAAACGUAAUGGAUUUUAAAGAGAGAUAGUAAAAUGAUGGAAAUUUGAUUGAUUGAUGGAUUGUAUGUUGUUUACUGUCCCUCUAGAGAAUUUUUCACCCAUUAUGGAUACGCCACCACUUGCCAGUGGAGAGCUGCAAAUUUUGUCCUAUGCUCAGCACUAAGUGCCAUUGAGCAGGGAGGGAUCUUUAUCGUGCCAGCACUUACUGCGACACGGGAGAUUGGUUCUAUUACAGUCUCGUCCGAAGGACCGGUAUCCACACCCCACACUGGAAUUCGAACCCGCGACAUAAGGAUCAACUCCUCAACUCUCGACUAUAGAGCAGACGCUCCAACUCACCACGAGGGAUAUUUGAAUAUGAAAGAAAGUUAUCCUGAUAUCUCACUUUAUACUUUGUGUAUAAGAUAUUACUAAAAUAAGUAUUACAGUAACUAUAUACAAAUAAAUUUACCCAAAAUUUCUUAAUGAAAAAAGGACAUUCUAUCAUACAAAAGCAUGACCAUGUUGAAAAACUUAAACAUCAUCGAACGUUCAUUCAAAAAUAUAAUUGUAAGUGCCU